rnacentral:rRNA from 1 species
UACGUAGGUGGCAAGCGUUGUCCGGAUUUAUUGGGCGUAAAGAGCGUGUAGGCGGCCAUACAGGUCCGUUGUGAAAACUGGAGGCUCAACCUCCAGACGUCGACGGAAACCGUAUGGCUAGAGUCCGGAAGAGGAGAGUGGAAUUCCUGGUGUAGCGGUGAAAUGCGCAGAUAUCAGGAAGAACACCCGUGGCGAAGGCGGCUCUCUGGGACGGUACUGACGCUGAGACGCGAAAGCGUGGGGAGCGAACAGG